AUUGAACGCUGGCGGAAUGCUUUACACAUGCAAGUCGAACGGUAGAGGGGGCAACCCCUUGAGAGUGGCGAACGGGUGAGUAAUAUAUCGGAACGUGCCCAGUCGUGGGGAUAACGUAGCGAAAGUUACGCUAAUACCGCAUACGAUCUAAGGAUGAAAGCGGGGGAUCGCAAGACCUCGCGCGAUUGGAGCGGCCGAUAUCAGAUUAGGUAGUUGGUGAGGUAAAGGCUCACCAAGCCGACGAUCUGUAGCUGGUCUGAGAGGACGACCAGCCACACUGGGACUGAGACACGGCCCAGACUCCUACGGGAGGCAGCAGUGGGGAAUUUUGGACAAUGGGCGCAAGCCUGAUCCAGCAAUGCCGCGUGCAGGAUGAAGGCC
rnacentral:rRNA from 1 species